rnacentral:lncRNA from 1 species
UGACAAAAGUAAAGAGAUAGUACCCGAGAAUCAAGAAUCGGAGUACUUGGAAUUCGACUCUCGAAAUAGUGAGUAACCUUAUCAUCAUCUUAAUUAUCUAAAGUAUGUUUUAUCUGAUUUUGUAAAUUUUAUGGAAAAUGAAUUAAAUGAUUAAUUUUUUGAUUUUAUAAACAAAAUGUGAUUUUAUGAAAUGAUUUCAUAGAAUUGUUUUAAAAUUGAAUGAUGGUUUGAAAAUAGAGUAAUUGGAGAUUGUUUUUGUUGGUUGUAAAUUCAUGAUUCUAAUUGAUUGGCUUAUGGCAAUAUUGGCAUGAAUGGUUGAUUUGAUAAAUGUGUUGGAAAUGUAUAAAUUGUUGAUUUACCUUGAAAGGCCGUAAAACAAAAUAAAACAAUUGCCAUGUCAUGUUGUUGAAUUUUAUUGUAUGGUGGGUUUAACUUGCUGCAGUGGGCGGGUUUUCUGUAGACCAGCCUAUUAGAGGGGCACGAAAUCCCAUUAUAUUUUACCUCGGUUGGAGAGGCGAGUAGGGUAACUCCCAAGGUAUAACUUUAGAGUUCACUUCAUGCCAAACCACCACGUGAGGGUGAACUCAGCCAACGCCAAGGAACGACUAUGUUUUCAAAAUAAAAACAUGAUUUAUGCGUACAUGACUUUUUAACAGCCUUGGCGGACUCGGUUGGGAUAGUCCUCAUCAAGGCAUCCCUGAUAACUGGGUAUGAGAAUAAUUUUGGCACGAGCCAAAGUUUUAAGAAAUUCAUAAGCCAUGUUGAUUACUAUAUUUAUAUGAAUUGAUUUUAUUUGGUUGAAACAAGUUAAAAAGUGAUGAAUUACAGUAUCUUAAACUAUUUUAUCUGUCUCUAUUUACUAGGAUUUAGAUAUUUUAGAUGGUAUUUGUUUAUUCACUAGGAUUAUAUAAUCUCACUACCCUUAUUUCCACCCAUUUCAGGCUUAGGAUAGUCUAUAGAUAGCUGAUUUCAUCAAGGACCACCAUUGGAUUUGCAUCCUCCAAACUGUAGGUUCACAAUCUUUCUUACUUUUGGUUAUUUGAGGGCCCACUUGUUACUGUAAAUUAAAUUAAAUACUCUGGCUUAUUGUAUUAUAAUAUAUAUGAAUUUAUUUUGCUUUUGCG